CGAUGAAGCUUCUAGCUUGCUAGAAGUGGAUUAGUGGCGCACGGGUGAGUAAGGUAUAGUUAAUCUGCCCUACACAAGAGGACAACAGUUGGAAACGACUGCUAAUACUCUAUACUCCUGCUUAACACAAGUUGAGUAGGGAAAGUUUUUCGGUGUAGGAUGAGACUAUAUAGUAUCAGCUAGUUGGUAAGGUAAUGGCUUACCAAGGCUAUGACGCUUAACUGGUCUGAGAGGAUGAUCAGUCACACUGGAACUGAGACACGGUCCAGACUCCUACGGGAGGCAGCAGUAGGGAAUAUUGCGCAAUGGGGGAAACCCUGACGCAGCAACGCCGCGUGGAGGAUGACACUUUUCGGAGCGUAAACUCCUUUUCUUAGGGAAGAAUUCUGACGGUACCUAAGGAAUAAGCACCGGCUAACUCCGUGCCAGCAGCCGCGGUAAUACGGAGGGUGCAAGCGUUACUCGGAAUCACUGGGCGUAAAGGGCGCGUAGGCGGAUUAUCAAGUCUCUUGUGAAAUCUAAUGGCUUAACCAUUAAACUGCUUGGGAAACUGAUAGUCUAGAGUGAGGGAGAGGCAGAUGGAAUUGGUGGUGUAGGGGUAAAAUCCGUAGAUAUCACCAAGAAUACCCAUUGCGAAGGCGAUCUGCUGGAACUCAACUGACGCUAAGGCGCGAAAGCGUGGGGAGCAAACAGGAUUAGAUACCCUGGUAGUCCACGCCCUAAACGAUGUACACUAGUUGUUGGGGUGCUAGUCAUCUCAGUAAUGCAGCUAACGCAUUAAGUGUACCGCCUGGGGGAGUACGGUCGCAAGAUUAAAACUCAAAGGAAUAGACGGGGACCCGCACAAGCGGUGGAGCAUGUGGUUUAAUUCGAAGAUACGCGAAAGAACCUUACCUGGGCUUGAUAUCCUAAGAACCUUUUAGAGAUAAGAGGGUGCUAGCUUGCUAGAACUUAGAGACAGGUGCUGCACGGCUGUCGUCAGCUCGUGUCGUGAGAUGUUGGGUUAAGUCCCGCAACGAGCGCAACCCACGUAUUUAGUUGCUAACGGUUCGGCCGAGCACUCUAAAUAGACUGCCUUCGUAAGGAGGAGGAAGGUGUGGACGACGUCAAGUCAUCAUGGCCCUUAUGCCCAGGGCGACACACGUGCUACAAUGGCAUAUACAAUGAGACGCAAUACCGCGAGGUGGAGCAAAUCUAUAAAAUAUGUCCCAGUUCGGAUUGUUCUCUGCAACUCGAGAGCAUGAAGCCGGAAUCGCUAGUAAUCGUAGAUCAGCCAUGCUACGGUGAAUACGUUCCCGGGUCUUGUACUCACCGCCCGUCACACCAUGGGAGUUGAUUUCACUCGAAGCC
rnacentral:rRNA from 1 species